GACGAACGCUGGCGGCGUGCUUAACACAUGCAAGUCGAACGGAAAGGCCCUGCUUUUGUGGGGUGCUCGAGUGGCGAACGGGUGAGUAACACGUGAGUAACCUGCCCUUGACUUUGGGAUAACUUCAGGAAACUGGGGCUAAUACCGGAUAGGAGCUCCUGCUGCAUGGUGGGGGUUGGAAAGUUUCGGCGGUUGGGGAUGGACUCGCGGCUUAUCAGCUUGUUGGUGGGGUAGUGGCUUACCAAGGCUUUGACGGGUAGCCGGCCUGAGAGGGUGACCGGCAUGAGUGGGGCAGCAGACCGGCCAGGACUCGGAGGGGAGGAGGCGGUGGGGAUGAUGGCAACAGGGGAGGAAGCCUGAUGCACCAGGGCGGUGUGGGGGAUGACGGCCUCUGGGUAGUAGGCCGCUGUCGCGGGGGAGGGAGGGUGGGUGAGGGUAAGGGGGAAAGAAGCCCAGGCGAAGUCGGGGACAGCGGGCCGCGGUAAUAAGCGGAAGACAAACGUCAGAAC
rnacentral:rRNA from 1 species